CAGAGGCCGGUUGGAAUUGAGUGUAAUUGGGUGGUGAGUCGCACGUCUCUCGGCGCUUUAGCACCAUGGCGGAAUGGAGCAGCCAGGCGCCCACAGGGAGGGCGGUUUCCGGUGAAAUUUCGGAAGAGCUGGAGAAUAUAAGAAUGAUGCUCGAGUACCUCCAACAGCUUUUGCUCGAGCUCCGGCAACUGUUCUGUCAGUCCUUGCACCGACUGUAUAGAAGACGCUAAUGCUCGAGCUCCAGCAACUGCUCUGUCAGUCCUUGCACCGACUGUAUAGAAGACGCUAAACACUGCUGAACCAGACGGAAAAUACUUUUCUUUCGUUUGUUCCGAUGAAGCAAUAAAUCUUGCUUGCCUUAA